rnacentral:lncRNA from 1 species
UGCUGACAGUAGUUCAUGAAGCAUCAGAAAGAACGGCUAUUCCUUUGCAAUCGAAUUUGAUAGCUGCUUCUGCUUUCAUGGAACCAUUAAAGGAAUGGAUGUUUGUUGACAAGGAAGGUGUACAAGUUGGACCACUGGAGAAGGAUGCUAUCAGAAGAUUCUGGUCAAAGAAAGGUAUUGAUUGGACAACAAGGUGCUGGGCUUCUGGGAUGUCAGAUUGGAAGAGAUUACGUGAUAUCCGUGAACUUCGGUGGGCACUAGCUGUUCGGGUUCCUGUUCUUACUUCAACGCAGGUACUGUUGUAUUAUGCAUGUUUACUUGAGUCUAUAUUACAUUGUGAAUGCUACAUUGCACUUUGAGUUGAUUUUGACUAAGUUUACUUCACCACAAACUGCAGCUACUGGUGGACUGCAUUUGUAGUUGUAUCUGGUUUGGAUUAAUGUUCUUUUAAUGAUUCUUUUGUUCCAUUCACUGCCUGAACUUGUUGAUUUUUUAUGGAUAUUCAAGUUCCAUAUCUUUUAUGUUAAAUGACUGCGGUCUUGUAUCUGAAGCUGUCUAUAUACAUUGUCAUUGACUAUUUUGAAAACAAAUGUCCUAGCUCACUAGUUAACUUUUAAAAUAAUUUUUGGGCAUGCCUGUAUGAAUCAGUUUUUUAACAUGGAUUUUAUUGUUAUUUUAAACUUCAAUGGUGCUGAUAGUGUCAUCCUUCUGUUGUAACACUAAAAAUGUAUUUGAGGAAAAGAUCCUUCCUUGUAUAUCUUGUUAGCAUCCUUGUGUUGCUGGAGUCCAGCAUCUGGAAUGUUUGAAGAUGUAUUUUGUGUAGAUUCAGUUCUGCAUAUGAAAUAAGUACUAGUGCUUGUGAUUUUAUACUUCUUUCUUCAACUGUUUGUCGAGGGCAUCAUAUCCUUUCCUCUUAUCUCAUGUUAGUUUCAUUUGUCUACAUUCAGGUAGGGGAGGCAGCAUUGUCCAUAUUACAUAGCAUGGUAUCUGCACAUUCAGAUUUAGAUGAUGCUGGUGAGAUAGUUACCCCAACUCCUAGAGUGAAACGGAUCUUGUCAAGUCCUCGUUGUCUUCCACAUAUCGCACAGG